rnacentral:lncRNA from 1 species
GAUGAUGUUGAAGGGAUUCCUGACGAUAUUUCCCGACUUCUUGAGCAAGAAAAGAAGAUCACUCAACUGCAUCUCGAGAAUCAGCAGAACAGCCAACUGGGGCAUUACAAAAAACAAAAAAAACAAAAAAGAAAAGAAAGAGGAGGGUGCAAAAUCAAAAGAAAUCAAAAGAAAUCAAAAGAGAUCAAAAUCAAAAGAAAGAAAAAAAGAAAGAAAGAAUAAAAAGAAAAAGCACCCUCAAAGUCCCAAGUU